AAGAAAGCUGCCUCAGAGGUAAAUGAUUGAAGUUUGGCAGAAGGAGCCUCUGUCCUGACACCACUGUAGACUCGGCUGCCAAGUGCUGAGUCCACCAUGCCUUGAAAUUCUGAGGCAGCAUGCAAUGAGUCAACACAGCCUCAGGGUGCUCACAGAUUGCAUUUAGUGACCCAAGUGACUUGUCCUCUCCUUCACCAGGGAAAAGCACAUUAUUUGAACUUGGGAAUGUCUGCCUACUAAAUGCAAAAGAGAAGUAUUUUUUCACCUUAAACUCAUGUAUAUUUUUCCCCAUAUUUUUUUUUAUGAAAGAAUUUUAGUAGCUGCAUUAAUAAGAAUGCUUACUAUAACAAAAUAAGAAUAAUUCAGAUCCAAAGUCAAAUAAUGAAAGACCUCUUGCACUGUAAUGUAUUUUUUCUGUACUGUUUUUAAUUUUCAUCCUUUUAAAUACUUACUACUGUUUAUGGCUUCAAAAAGCAUGAGAAAAUCUCAUGUGCUCUUUCAGAAUGUGAUAGUGAAAAAAAUUCUUGGAAUAAUAAUGCAAUUCAAUUUCAUUUCCAAAAGUAUACAACAAUUUUUGUAUCUUCUCUGUUUCUCUGUUUUACAAAGAGUCUUGAGGGAAAGUAAGCAAAAAUGUUGUUUGAUUAUGUUUUGUUUAAGAAUAUCCCACUGAGGAAAAUGUUAUGUUUCUUGCUCCUUUUCUGACCACCACCCAUCACCAAACCAGAGCCAAAACCAAAAUCUAAGUAAUGCUGUGGUGCUGGGUUUUUAUUAAUAGGUAAACAGACCCCAUCCAUAUGACAUCUAUUUAAAUAUACUACUAACACCUGUUGCAUUCUCUUUAGUAAAAGGAAUGCUUUCUUGAUUUCAUUUUCAUAAUCCCCCAAAAGCUCUUGCCUUCAAAUUAAGUUCUUAUAUUUCUAAUUCUUACAUUUUAUAUGGCAUCCAAAUUAGUUGUAUACCUGUAAGUUUCACAGUGCAUUCACUCUGACACAUUCUCAGAAAUAAAUUUUUGCUUACUUAUUUAUUCAUGUCUAUAUUUUCUACAUUUUUGUUAGACAUUAAUGUAAAAUACUACAUGAUAUCUUUUUAUCCUGAAACUAAGAAUAAAUAUAUGAAUGUAUAUGUAUAUUUCAGCAACUUCAACUCUCUCACCUGAAUUAUUUUCCAAAUUUGGCAAAUUAAACUUUAACUCUUGGUAAUAUUUUCAAGUAUUUCAGAUAUACUUGCUAUAUGAACAAAUAAAGAAAAUUAUUAUGGAGAGAAAAAAUGUUUCUGCUUUACAAGAAUUUUGUUCUUGAGUGUUUAUUUUUCUUGCAAAAGCAAGAAAUGUUUGGGUAUUCAGUGAUGCCUUCAGAGGUUACGCAUCCUGAAGCAUAUUAAAUGUAUUUCUUUAAAAAAAUAUACAUUGUGAAAAUUAUGUUAUUCAUUUUAGAGAAAUUGUUUGCAUGAUAACCAUACAAUAGAUCUUUUAUUUUUCAAGGUGUGUCAUUUCCAGGCAACAGUGUUAUGUUGAGUCUUUGUUGACAUUCUAAUGUUGAAGAGCUAAUCUAGUUGUAAUACGUGAUUACAUGAGCCCUAGGUAGAGUGGAGUUGGUGGACUCUAGGGGUGGACUUCACUGUGCAGGAACCUCCCAAAUUCUCAUGCCCUGAUGACCUUCAACCAGUCAUGCACCAUGGCUGUUCUUGGGAACUUGCUCACAGAUGCAGCUGCCGUACUCUUCAGGGCUAGGAACAAUGUGUGAUUGAUGGGCUGAAAGAUUUAAAUCCUCUUUUCGUCUAAGUACCAGGUACCACCAGUCAAUGCCUACUGUAAGUUUGAAAGAUACUGAUACUUUUAGAUUCUUAGAAAAAAUAAGAAGAAAAAAAGCAUUGCUAGCAGCAAAAGCAGUUGCUGAUACAAAAUCAGUACCUUGAUAAAAAACAAAGAAAUGCAAAUGUACUCAGAUUCUGGCAACUGGACCUACACAGACUGAUUGUGGCACCAGGUUUCAAAAACAUGGAUCUGAUUAUAGAAGCAUGACUGAAAUGGAAAGAUCUGGAGUUCAAGUGCAAAUGCAUGGAUCCCAUUUACAUCAAGUGGAGCUACAUUCACCUGUGGGUAUUCUAGGCAGAAACUGUGCUAUGCUUUAUAGCUGUAAAAUAUUCAGCUUUGUACAGCUGCAAUAGUGACACUUGGGUGCUGCUAUUGUAAUAAACAAGAAUUAUAGAAUAUAACAUUGAAAAACUAUGUAUGUGUAUGUUAUCAUUUCUUACAAACUUCCUUGCCUUCUUAUGUUUCCCUUAUUUGAGAUGAGAAAACAGAAGAUUACGCUUGGGAAAAUCUGCCAGGACUGACAAUUUUUUUCUCUAGCAAGACCAAGAAUGGAACAAAACUGACAUGCCUGGAAGGCUUAGCCUGGGCAAGGGGAACCAGUGAAACACUGUGUCACAACCCUGUGCAAAUCUGACCUAGUGGGUGUCCUUACACCAUACAACCCCCAAUCUAGAAGGUUCAAACACAAGAAUAUUGAUGCAGAACAAUGACACAUCUCUGCAGUGGAAAAAUGGAACCCCAAAUUUCCUACCCCAACACAGCAGGGGUACUUCAGCAGUCAGCACGGUGUAUGUUGUAACGAUGUGCUUCAAUAAACAACUCCAGUUUUCAGAGCUCACCCGCGUAUUUGAUUCUUCAACUGCUUGGUUGAUUCAAAGGGAAUCUUUCUUCUCUUUGCCUUUGCUCAAUCUGAUCAGGGUUUUCACUCCCACAUAACAAAGCAGCGUGUAAACACACAACUUGUUCAUCUUUCCACUGGGAAUGAUCUGAACCCCCUCUCCUCCUUCACCUGUCAUUCUGGUUAUCAAAGAUGCAACAUGUAAAAACAACUGUACCCCAUCAGAUUAAAGGUCCAUCUAGUUUAGUUCCUAAUGAUACCUGACAUCAGAUGCCUGGGGAAGAGGGAAAGGAUUCAACAAAUAUAUAGGAAUACUUUUUCAGGAUUCUUUCAGUCUACAGCAAUUUGAAACUCAGGAUUCCUUUCUGAGACAGAAAGUGCAUCAUUCCGUGUAAUGGCCUUGUUAGGUAUUUCUUUCUUACUUUCUUCCAAUAAUUUUUUGAAGUGAUAUAAACUUAAUAUGCACAACACUGUAGGACAGGAAGCUUUAUGACAUAAUGACAUGUGUUGAAGACUGCUUCAUUUUAUUUAUUUUGGACUAUCUUGAUUUAUUACUCUCUUGGAUUUGAGCUAAUGAGGAGCAAUUAUUUGUCCCACAAGCCCAGUUCCCUUAACCUGUCUUCACACAUUAUGUGCUCCAGUCCCCAGCCACAUUAGCAGAUCUUCACUGGAUCCUUUCAGUAUAUCAAUGUCUCUUUUGCACCUGGAGGCCCAAAACUCAUCAAGUCAUUCACACACAGCCCUAUAACUGCCAAGGAGAGAACAUCAGACACAUGGGGUAUAUAGCGCAAGUGUUGAGUAGUUGUUCAAAGUUCAGCAUCCUUCAGCAAGUCACAGACGAAGGGCAGAUACACACAGGCUGCUGAAGUUCUACAGCUAACAGAAAGAGGGCAAAGGACAAACUGCUAGUCCAAAAGUCAAAUGGCAUAAUUAGUUUACAACCAUAGUGCUGUGAACUAGCUCACACUGGAGCAGGGUGGCUUGAUCCACAGUAUUCAGCCUCUGGAUGUCUAUUUGGCAGCUCUGUGGCCCUAAAUGUAAAUUGCUCUUUUGUGUGACUUUUUCAUUUCAGAGUGCCACAAGUAAUUUCAGGAUUUUACUACAGCCCUCCAGAACUGUGUUUUUACAAUAUAAAACUGGGUGUAUGUAUGGCAUGAAAAACUGUUGCAUAAUGGUCUAAAACUCCUGUUACACGAAUUAAUGUACACUGUUUCUAGCUGCUGGAGGUGAAUGAAACAAUUUUUACUCGCUGUGUGUUACAGAUAUGUAUGGACUGAAUCAUCUGACAUGAAGUAGUGGAUACCUUACCACUUACUGCACAUUAAUGCAUCAAUUUUCUCAACUAAAUUGCCAUUUAGGCAAUAUUUUAUGGAUUUAGAAUAUGUACUGGAAAUAAGCAAUAGUAUUGUUG